rnacentral:rRNA from 1 species
GAUGAACGCUAGCGGCAGGCCUAACACAUGCAAGUCGAGGGAGAAGCCCUUUCGGGGGCAGAAACCGGCGCACGGGUGCGUAACGCGUAUGCAACCUACCUUUCACAGGGGGAUAGCCCGAAGAAAUUUGGAUUAAUACCCCAUAAUAUUAUUGGAUGGCAUCAUUUGAUAAUUAAAACUGCGGUGGUGAAAGAUGGGCAUGCGUCCUAUUAGCUAGUUGGAGUGGUAACGGCACCCCAAGGCUACGAUAGGUAGGGGUCCUGAGAGGGAGAUCCCCCACACUGGUACUGAGACAGGGACCAGACUCCUACGGGAGGCAGCAGUGAGGAAUAGUGGUCAAUGGUCGGAAGACUGAACCAGCCAUGCCGCGUGCAGGAAGAAUGCCUUAUGGGUGGUAAACUGCUUUUAGAUGGGAAGAAUAAGGCGUACGUGUACGUUGAUGACGGUACCAUAUGAAUAAGCAUCGGCUAACUCCGUG